GGCCCCAUAGCUCAGUCGGUAGAGCAACUGGCUUUUAACCAGUGGGUCGAAGGUUCAAGUCCUUCUGGGGUCACCA
rnacentral:tRNA from 1 species